GAUGAAGAACGUAGUAAAUUGCGAUAACUAUUGUGAAUUGCAUCUCGUGAAUCAUCAAGUUUUUGAACGCAUCUUGCACUCUUUGGUAUUCCAAAGAGUACACUUGUUUCAGUAUCAUAUUAACCCCAACGCUGUUUGUUCUUUUUUAAAGAGUAAUCUGGGCGGAAUUUAUGAAUCCUUGGCCGAUGAAAGGUGUUUAAUCACUUGAGCGGCUUAAAUUAUUAUUAUUGAGGCGAAAUCUUAUAAUUUCAUUCAGCCUAUGUAAAAUAAAUAUUAAUGUGUUUCUACUUAUUUUACGGUAUUGAUUGAAAGGAGGUUUCUGGCCAACUAACACAUUAUUUUGAUCUGAAAUCAAGUGGGAUUACCCGCUGAACUUAAGCAUAUCAAUAAGCGGAGGA
rnacentral:misc_RNA from 1 species